GAUGAACGCUGGCGGCGUGCCUAAUACAUGCAAGUCGAGCGAACAGACGAGGAGCUUGCUCCUCUGACGUUAGCGGCGGACGGGUGAGUAACACGUGGAUAACCUACCUAUAAGACUGGGAUACUUCGGGAAACCGGAGCUAAUACCGGAUAAUAUAUUGAACCGCAUGGUUCAAUAGUGAAAGACGGUUUUGCUGUCACUUAUAGAUGGAUCCGCGCCGCAUUAGCUAGUUGGUAAGGUAACGGCUUACCAAGGCAACGAUGCGUAGCCGACCUGAGAGGGUGAUCGGCCACACUGGAACUGAGACACGGUCCAGACUCCUACGGGAGGCAGCAGUAGGGAAUCUUCCGCAAUGGGCGAAAGCCUGACGGAGCAACGCCGCGUGAGUGAUGAAGGUCUUCGGAUCGUAAAACUCUGUUAUUAGGGAAGAACAAAUGUGUAAGUAACUAUGCACGUCUUGACGGUACCUAAUCAGAAAGCCACGGCUAACUACGUG
rnacentral:rRNA from 1 species